AGGUAGCCUCUGUAUAUGCUAUCGCUAGAGGAAGGGCCUGCGGGUCAUUAGUUUGUUGGUGGGGUAAUGGCCUACCAAGACGAUGAUGACUAGCUGGUCUGAGAGGAUGAUCAGCCACACUGGAACUGAGACACGGUCCAGACUCCUACGGGAGGCAGCAGUAGGGAAUAUUGCGCAAUGGGGGAAACCCUGACGCAGCAAUGCCAUGUGAGGGAGGAAGGCUCUAGGGUUGUAAACCUCUGUCAAUAGGGAAAAAUGGCUAUUGGUCUAAUAGGCCUUUAGUUUGAUGGUACCUAUAAAGGAAGCACCGGCUAACUUCGUGCCAGCAGCCGCGGUAAUACGAAGGGUGCAAGCGUUGUUCGGAUUUAUUGGGCGUAAAGCGCGCGCAGGCGGAAACAUAAGUCAGGUGUGAAAUCUCGGGGCUCAACCCCGAAACUGCGCCUGAAACUGUAUUUCUAGAAUCUCGGA
rnacentral:rRNA from 1 species